CGGUGUCUGGGGAGCGGCUGCGGCCCGGGCCCGCGCGAGCCACUUCGCUCCUACAAGCCCGGCUCACUAGUUCCAAGCUGCUGGACUUUGACCCUCGCUGGGAAGCUUGAUCGCCGCCUGUUCUCGCCAAUCUCUGCCUUUGCACUGCCCAGCAACCCGGUCACUGCCCAGGACCUGUUAAAAGUGGAAUGGACCUCCCAGAAUCACGCCGCUGCCACCGCCGUUUCUAGAGACGGCUUUUGGCCACCUUUGAGAAUCAGGGUCAAACUUGGAAGGGCCUGCAUUUGUCACACCUCCUCGGACACUAAUUUGGAUAGUUCAGGCCCAGAGACAGCUUCCCGGGUUAGUGUGCCUGACAACACUGAAGAAAAAUUGUGACAUUUUCCUUCCCCAAAAUUACUUCGUUUUAUACAUUUCACUUCUCUUCUGAAAUUACAGCAAUGUCAGUUUGCGCCUUUUGGUCUGAGGAACGCAGGCCCUGGCCACUACCAGGAAAAAAUCCUUUGCACAUGGCCUGCUAUCAACAAUCUUCUACAAUGAUUCUCAGCAUCACCUGGGGAGCUUAUGCAAAAUCUCAAAUUCCUGGGCCCUAUCCCCAGAGUUUCUUAUCGAGUAAGUCUGCAUUGGGAUCUGAGGAUUUGCAUCUCUAACAAAAAUUCCUAGGCGAUGCUCACACUGUUGGUGUAAGGUUUCCUUGAUGGAGAACUAUCAAAGCAGUCAAAGCUAUCAAAAUAAAAAAGAAUUCUGAUUGGGUGCAGUGGCUCACACCUGUCAUUCCAGCACUUUGACAGGCCAAGGUGGGCAGAUCACAUGAGGCCAGGAGUUCAAGACCAGCCUGGCCAACAUGGCAGAAACCCCAUCUCUACUAAAAAUACCAAAAUUAGCCGGGCAUGGUGGAACACACCUGCAAUCCCAGCUACUCGGGAGGCUGAAGCAAGAGAAUCGCUUGAACCUGGGAGGCAGAAGUUGCAGUGAAACAAGGUGGUGCCAAUGCAUUCCAGCCUGGA
rnacentral:lncRNA from 1 species